rnacentral:rRNA from 1 species
AUACGGAGGAUGCGAGCGUUAUCCGGAUUUAUUGGGUUUAAAGGGAGCGUAGGCGGAUUGUUAAGUCAGUUGUGAAAGUUUGCGGCUCAACCGUAAAAUUGCAGUUGAAACUGGCAGUCUUGAGUACAGUAGAGGGGGGCGGAAUUCGUGGUGUAGCGGUGAAAUGCUUAGAUAUCACGAAGAACUCCGAGUGCGAAGGCAGCUCACUAGACUGUUACUGACACUGAUGCUCGAAAGUGUGGGUAGCAAACAGGAUUAGAUACCCUGGUAGUCCACACAGUAAACGAUGAAGACUCGGGGUUUGCGAUAUAUAGUAAGCGGCCAAGCGAAAGCAUGAAGUAUUCCCCGUGGGGAGUACGCCGGCAACGGUGAAACUCAAAUGAAUUGACGGGG